rnacentral:rRNA from 1 species
AGAGCGAACGCUGGCGGCAGGCCUAACACAUGCAAGUCGAGCGCGUGUAGCAAUACACGAGCGGCAGACGGGAGAGUAACACGUGGGAACGCGCCCUUCGGUUCGGAAUAACUCAGGGAAACUUGAGCUAAUACCGGAUACGCCCUUACGGGGAAAGAUUUAUUGCCGAAGGAACGGCCCGCGUCCGAUUAGCUAGUUGGUGAGGUAACGGCCCACCAAGGCAUCGACGGGUAGCUGGUCUGAGAGGACGAUCAGCCACACUGGGACUGAGACACGGCCCAGACUCCUACGGGAGGCAGCAGUGGGGAAUCUUGCGCAAUGGGCGAAAGCCUGACGCAGCAACGCCGCGUGGAGGACGAAGGCUUUCUGAGUUGUAAACUCCUUUCAGCAGGGACGAUAGUGACGGUACCUGCAGAAGAAGCACCGGCCAACUACGUGCCAGCAGCCGC